rnacentral:rRNA from 1 species
AACGAACGCUGGCGGCAUGCCUAACACAUGCAAGUCGAACGAGACCUUCGGGUCUAGUGGCGCACGGGUGCGUAACGCGUGGGAACCUGCCUUUAGGUUCGGAAUAACUCAGAGAAAUUUGAGCUAAUACCGGAUGAUGUCUUCGGACCAAAGAUUUAUCGCCUUUAGAUGGGCCCGCGUUGGAUUAGCUAGUUGGUGGGGUAAAGGCCUACCAAGGCGACGAUCCAUAGCUGGUCUGAGAGGAUGAUCAGCCACACUGGGACUGAGACACGGCCCAGACUCCUACGGGAGGCAGCAGUGGGGAAUAUUGGACAAUGGGCGAAAGCCUGUUCCAGCAAUGCCGCGUGAGUGAUGAAGGCCUUAGGGUUGUAAAGCUCUUUUACCCGAGAUGAUAAUGACAGUAUCGGGAGAAUAAGCUCCGGCUAACUCCGUG